UUGAAGUAGCAAAGAAGUCCCCAGUAUAAAAAUCGCUUUUCCAAAAGUCGUUUUCACAGAAGUAGUCGUCAAGAAGAGGAAAGCAGAGAGUGCAAGCUCAGAGAAAGAGAAAACCCCCAAAUAAUUUUAUUUUAUUUUUUAAAAGUUGUAAAUUGUGAGGAAAUAGUUUAAUUAGGGUUUUGGGAAAUGGAAAUAAGAAAUGUGCUCAAGGACAAGAAAUUCUGGUUCGCAUCGUUCCUCAUUGCCUGGGCCGCCGCUCUCCAGGGACACAUGAUGUGGCUGCAGAGACAGGACUCUUUCAAGCAAAAGUUUGGGAAUCUCGAACACAAGAACGAGGAUACUGUUGAUGAAUAAACAAAAUUGUUACUAAAACACACUUUUGCUUCUGAAAUCUAAAACCUAUCAGAAAAUUUUUCUGGAAGCACAAAGAUCGCUGGCUGUGUCGCCUUAAAAUAUACUUUUAGUGAUAUUUUUUGCAAACGAUGCAUUUUGUUGAUUUUAAUUUUAAGUUAGAAAUUCAACUGUUGCAUGCUUUCCUUCUAGCUGUCAAGACUUAGGAAAUUCCCAAGAUGUGGUUUCAAAUUUAUUUUUAUUUUAUUUCUUGUAUAAGUGAGAGGAGUAGGAUUCUGAAAUCUUUAUAGUUUAGUGUUUUACCGGAUCUUAACUCGGCUAUUUACAGUUGCUACUAAUUUUUGCAUCUUUCAAAUUAAGAGGCAGUUCAUAUAACCUUUACAUCUAUUUUGUAUUGCUAACAAGAUAGCAACUGUAAAGUCACUUUAUGGGAUUGACUCAUGAGAGUUGGCUGCUUUGUUGGUGCACUAUUGCCUGGAGAGGACAAAGGAGUCUAUUCUGCUAGUCUAAGAUUUCGUUUUUGCCGGAGUACAGACGCUUAUUUCUCGACUAUUCUGCUAGUUUAAGUUUUCGUUUUCGUCUAGUACAAUUGCUUAUUUCUCGACUGGAUUGUAUAAAUCAUCCAUUUAAGAUUUUCCUCUUGAUAACUGUCGUUUGAAGUGUUCAGAUGAUGUUGAUUUGUCAAGAUCAAAAGCCGAUUCUUCUAUUUGCAAUAUUUACUUUUUA